rnacentral:lncRNA from 1 species
UCAAAAAUAUCCAAGUGCACCGGGAAUAAUCAUCAAUGAAACUGAAAAAGUAACGGAUUCCCAAGGUAGAACUGACCCGACUAGGAUCCCAUAUAUCUGAAUGGACUAAAGUGAAAGGUGACUCUGCUCGAUUAUCAGGACGCCAAGGGAAAUGGGAACAUGUAUGCUUAUCGAGCUGACAUGACUCACAUUCUAAGAGACAAAUGAGAUAAGCUAGAUACCAUUUUCUAAAGUUUUGACAAAUUGGGAUGUCCUAACUGUUUAUGUGACAAUCUGGUGAAUU